AUCAGAAUCACCUAUGGGGCUUGUUAAAACACAGAUUACUGGACUCUAACCCUAGAGUUUCUGAUGCAGUAAGUCUGAGAUGAAGCUCAAAAUUUUGCAUUUCUAACAAGUUCUCAGGUAAUGCUGAU
rnacentral:miRNA from 1 species